AGAUCAUUUGAUGUGUCAAUACUCAGUUCCGAUCAGGCAGAUCUUCAAGCAGUGUGCCCCAGCAGACGUCACAGUUGUGCCCUGGUUAACACCCCCUCACUGUGUGCCAACAAAGCUGUUUGCCAUAUUCAGGAGCUGAAGAGGCAACUGGAGAACUGGUGUCAACAGUCAGGAAAUGUUCAGCAUCAGAUGUCUCAUGAAAAACAGCAAAAUAGCAAAACUUUUAGAAGGUGGACUGUUUGUCUCCGCUGUGUAAGGAAACCACAUAUGUCCUGGUAAAGUUGGUGUAUCUGAUUGAACAUCUAGAAGCUGAUCGCCAGGAUGCAGAGGAAGCUCUACAAACAGAGAAGAAGAGGAGGUGAACUUUUGGGAGAAAAAUGAAUACUAUUUCACUGUGGAAGCAGCCGUCCAGAAAGCUUCUCUGAAGAACACAGUACCCAG
rnacentral:lncRNA from 1 species